rnacentral:rRNA from 1 species
UACGAUGGGGGCUAGCGUUGUUCGGAAUCACUGGGCGUAAAGCGCACGUAGGCGGAUUUUUAAGUCAGGGGUGAAAUCCCGAGGCUCAACCUCGGAACUGCCUUUGAUACUGGGAAUCUUGAGUAUGGUAGAGGUAGGUGGAACAGCAAGUGUAGAGGUGAAAUUCGUAGAUAUUUGCUAGAACACCAGUGGCGAAGGCGGCCUACUGGACCAUAACUGACGCUGAGGUGCGAAAGCGUGGGGAGCAAACAGG